CAGCAGCCACGGUAAUACGGAGGGUGCAAGCGUUAUCCGGAUUUAUUGGGUUUAAAGGGUCCGUAGGCGGAUCUGUAAGUCAGUGGUGAAAUCUCACAGCUUAACUGUGAAACUGCCAUUGAUACUGCAGGUCUUGAGUAAAUUUGAAGUGGCUGGAAUAAGUAGUGUAGCGGUGAAAUGCAUAGAUAUUACUUAGAACACCAAUUGCGAAGGCAGGUCACUAAGAUUUAACUGACGCUGAUGGACGAAAGCGUGGGGAGCGAACAGGAUUAGAUACCCGAGUAGUCCCUGUCUCUUAUAC
rnacentral:rRNA from 1 species